UACGAAGGGGGCUAGCGUUACUCGGAAUUACUGGGCGUAAAGGGCGCGUAGGCGGCUCUGUAAGUCAGGCGUGAAAUUCCUGGGCUCAACCUGGGGGCUGCGCUUGAGACUGUGGAGCUAGAGGAUGGAAGAGGGUCGUGGAAUUCCCAGUGUAGAGGUGAAAUUCGUAGAUAUUGGGAAGAACACCGGUGGCGAAGGCGGCGACCUGGUCCAUUACUGACGCUGAGGCGCGACAGCGUGGGGAGCAAACAGG
rnacentral:rRNA from 1 species